CAUUCAUGUGUAGGGACAACAAGAAACAUCUUUCCAUCACAUUUGCCAAGGGUCUAGCUCAAGACCUCAGACUUUGGUAAUCAGAUCUUUAUAGUAAUCUCCCCAGCUCAAUAGAUUUGGCUUUAGGUCCUUUCCUAAAUAUACGUACAUUCACAGUUCCCAUCACACUGAAUUUGAUAUCGACUAAUUCAGCACAUACAAACCCUAGACCAUAUUCCGUGUAUUUGAUGUCACCAGUUUAUUUCUUUGCUCUGAUAAUGCCCACCACCAUCACUCUUGAACUCAUCUUGCCUCCUGAAUGCCAGGAUGAAAGGUGUCACUGUACCUGGUUUCCUAAAAUAUUUUUUUUUAAAGAUUUAUUCAUGGGUUGGGGAUUUAGCUCAGUGGUAGAGCGCUUGCCUAGCAAGCGCAAGGCCCUGGGUUUGAUUCCCCAGCUCCGAAAA
rnacentral:lncRNA from 1 species